rnacentral:rRNA from 1 species
GAUGAACGCUGGCGGCGUGCCUAAUACAUGCAAGUCGAGCGCGAGAAUGAGGAGCUUGCUCCUCAUAAUCGAGCGGCGGACGGGUGAGUAACACGUAGGCAACCUACCCUUGAGAUUGGGAUAACUACCGGAAACGGUAGCUAAUACCGGAUACGACUUUUCCACACAAGUGGAAUUGUUAAAAGGCGGAUUUAUCUGCCGCUCAUGGAUGGGCCUGCGGUGCAUUAGCUAGUUGGUGAGGUAGUGGCUCACCAAGGCGACGAUGCAUAGCCGACCUGAGAGGGUGAUCGGCCACACUGGGACUGAGACACGGCCCAGACUCCUACGGGAGGCAGCAGUAGGGAAUCUUCCGCAAUGGACGCAAGUCUGACGGAGCAACGCCGCGUGAGUGAUGAAGGGUUUCGGCUCGUAAAACUCUGUUGUUAAGGAAGAACACUUGAGGUAGUAACUGGCCUUGAGAUGACGGUACUUAACCAGAAAGCCACGGCUAACUACGUGCCAGCCGCCGCAGUAA